UCAAUUGCUCGCCCGAAGUAAUGGAAUCAAACAGAGAUGAGCAGACGGAGGAUUUUCCGUGGAAAGAAUAUAUAAAGAGCAAAAUGAGCAUAAAGUAAGACUUCAAAAAGUAUAAAUUCCACCACGAAACCCAUCAUUUGGGAUGAAAGGAAGACUGUUUUUCUCUCAAAAAAAUAAUGUCAGCCACCAACAGCACCACCGCUAAGUUUAGUUCUUUGCAACUUUAUUUUUUAAAAAUGAAAUAUUCAAAGUACUUUGUCUUUCAAAUGUCAACACAUCAUAUAUUAAGUUUUAACUAUCUACAGCCGGUCAUUGUCAUGGAUUGUAGAAAAGACAUGCUUCCAGUCUGAAAACCAGAGCAAAAAAAAAACGCAACAAAAUGUUUUCACGGCAGCUACUGAACACAAUCCUCUACCGUAUGGAGCCUCUGUUCAGAGCAGGAAUACAACACUGGAAUCUGUUGUUUCUAAGCAACAAAGCCCAGGCCAUUUCCGAUUACAAUUUCAGUAAGAUUAGAACUGUGGUUGUUAGACAGAAUGGAACAUCUUGGCAUACAUUGUAAACAUCAUUACUUCCCAUGAUAUUAUUAUUAUUAUUGAAAAAUAAACCUAGUACUUGAUAUAACACCAUAUGCUAGGCUUUGCUGAGUGUUUACCAACACCUUGUUUAUCAGUUCCAACAUUUUGUCAUGGAGAGUUGUGGGAUGUGAAAUAUCGUCAAGGACACACAUGGUUAUACUAGUGUUUAUUAAGAGGAUAACGUUCACCACUGAAUCUAAGAAAAGGUUGUAACUGGCAAACACAGUCUCUUCAACUGAUAAUAUUAGUGGCAAGAGCCAAGAACAAUCCAUAGUGAAGCUGAAUUCGAUGGCUACCAGUUUCUGUUCAAGAUCUGUGUAAGCCACCAUGCUGUAUGUUCGGAGGAGAAACUGCAGGAAUACAGCAGACUAUAGAAUGUAUAGACACAUUUUAUAGCACCCAUAAUCAUGUUAAAAUAUAUGUUCUUGUGAAACUCAGGUUCCUUAGCCGUCUCUUGGACUUUGUUACAAUAUCCCAUGUACAAUUACUAUUUUAUUCUGUUCAAUUUUUUUCCUUGUCUGCUGUCAAGUGGCCUCCUAGUUAUGGCAACCCCACGAAUGAACAAUCUCCAAAACGCCCUGUCCUCAACUGCCCUGCUCAGCUCUUGCAAACUGAAAUCCGUGGCUUCUUUACUGAGUCAAUCCAUCUUUUAUUUAGUCUUCCUCUUUUCCUGUUGCCUUCCACCUUUCAACUUCUUGCCUUCCAAGUUGUUACUGCCCUCAUUUCAAACAAGGAAGGGGAACCUGCACUCCUCCGGAGGCUGUUAGGUCAUAUCUUCCAUCAUUCCUCACCACUGACUCCGUUCAAUAGUACUGAUGAAAACUGUAACCUCUGGAGGGCCCACAUGGUGCCAAUCCUUGUUUUGGAAGGAGAGCCUUGGUAAGAUCAUGCUGCUGCUUCAUACCCCGACCCCUUUCUGGGGACCAAACGCCCCUUCGUUCACCCAGCUUAUUUUUCUCACUGAGUUUUUGACUCUUUCUUACAUCACUCUGACAGUUUCGGCCACCCCUGAGCAAACACUAUGGAGGAUGAUGCUUCUUACAGAAACUUCACUCAAUUGGGAACAACAACUGUGUAAGCUAUGCAGACGGUAUCAAUGACGUGCUACAUUUGCAGGAAGAAUACAAACUGACCCAAAUAUUCUACGGUUUCUGGGCAUUGUUUUUGCCUCCUGACCUUGGUUGGCCCCGACUGGCUUGUUCACCAGAAGGUCAGGGCACACUUUUGCUAUGAUUCUUCUAAGUUGCCACAAUGACAGAAAAUGAGUUUUAAGUAAAAAAAAAAAAAUGUAUACAGAUCAUGGAUUUUGUGCUUGCAGAUGCCAAUGAAAAACUUCAGAGGUUUUUUUCCACUGCUGGGUGAGGUUUUGACAGCUUGGGACAUUUUUUAAAAACAUUUCUUGUGAAAAACGCACAGAAUUAAAAUCUUGCAAUUGAGACAAACUCCUGUAUUUGCAAGGUUGAUGAUAACAAAUUAAAGGGUUUGUACUAAAAAGCAGACCUUUUUAAAACACAAAAAUAUGAUUUUGU